GCGACGCCGCGUGGGGGAUGACGGCCUUCGGGUUGUAAACCUCUUUCNGCACAGACGAAGCGUGAGUGACGGUAUGUGCAGAAGAAGCACCGGCCAACUACGUGCCAGCAGCCGCGGUAAUACGUAGGGUGCGAGCGUUGUCCGGAAUUACUGGGCGUAAAGAGCUCGUAGGUGGUUUGUCGCGUUGUUCGUGAAAACUCACAGCUUAACUGUGGGCGUGCGGGCGAUACGGGCAGACUGGAGUACUGCAGGGGAGACUGGAAUUCCUGGUGUAGCGGUGGAAUGCGCAGAUAUCAGGAGGAACACCGGUGGCGAAGGCGGGUCUCUGGGCAGUAACUGACGCUGAGGAGCGAAAGCGUGGGGAGCGAACAGGAUUAGAUACCCUGGUAGUCCACGCCGUAAACGGUGGGUACUAGGUGUGGGUUUCCUUCCUUGGGAUCCGUGCCGUAGCUAACGCAUUAAGUACCCCGCCUGGGGAGUACGGCCGCAAGGCUAAAACUCAAACCAAUCGCC
rnacentral:rRNA from 1 species